AUUGAACGCUGGCGGCAUGCCUUACACAUGCAAGUCGAACGGCAGCACGGGUGCUUGCACCCGGUGGCGAGUGGCGAACGGGUGAGUAAUAUAUCGGAACGUACCUUAUUGUGGGGGAUAACGCAGCGAAAGCUGUGCUAAUACCGCAUAAUCCCUAAGGGGGAAAGCGGGGGACCGUAAGGCCUCGCGCAAUUAGAGCGGCCGAUACCUGAUUAGCUAGUUGGUGAGGUAAAGGCUCACCAAGGCAACGAUCAGUAGCUGGUCUGAGAGGACGAUCAGCCACACUGGGACUGAGACACGGCCCAGACUCCUACGGGAGGCAGCAGUGGGGAAUUUUGGACAAUGGGGGCAACCCUGAUCCAGCAAUGCCGCGUGAGUGAAGAAGGCCUUCGGGUUGUAAAGCUCUUUUGUCAGGGAAGAAACAGCAGCUCUAACACAGUUUGCGAAUGACGGUACCUGAAGAAUAAGCACCGGCUAACUACGUGCCAGCCGCCGCGGUAAUAC
rnacentral:rRNA from 1 species